rnacentral:tRNA from 1 species
AAAUAUAUAGCUCAGUUGGUAGAGCACCGGACUUUUAAUCCGAGGGUCUUGGGUUCAAAUCCCAAUAUAUUUA